rnacentral:rRNA from 1 species
GACGAACGCUGGCGGCGUGCUUAACACAUGCAAGUCGAGCGGUAAGGCCCUUUUGGGGGUACACGAGCGGCGAACGGGUGAGUAACACGUGGGUGACCUGCCCUCAGCUCUGGGAUAAGCCUGGGAAACUGGGUCUAAUACUGGAUAUGACCUUUCCUCGCAUGGGGUUGGUGAAAGUUUUUCGGCUGGGGAUGGGCCCGCGGCCUAUCAGCUUGUUGGUGGGGUGAUGGCCUACCAAGGCGACGACGGGUAGCCGGCCUGAGAGGCGACCGGCCACACUGGGACUGAGACACGGGCCCAGACUCCUACGGGAGGCAGCAGUGGGGAAUAUUGCGCAAUGGGCGAAGCCUGACGCAGCGACG